GCCUGGGUGGCUCAGUUGGUUAAGUAUCUGACUUCGGUUCAGGUCAUUAUCUCGCAGUCAAUGAGUUCGAGCCCCAUUUCAGGCU
rfam:Felis catus isolate Cinnamon breed Abyssinian chromosome A2, whole genome shotgun sequence.